UUCACCACGGAUCUGUUAGUAAUGAGUUCGAAUCUCGUAAGAGAUUCUAAAAUUUGAAUUUUUCCGACAAAUUUUAAAACGCAUUUUAGGUUAAAUAUUGUUAAAUUUGAAAAUUCUAAACCUGUGAAAGUAUAAUGUACUUUAAUCCACAUAAAUAAAGACAGAUGUCCCAAUCAACUUUAUUUCUUACGUAUGUAAAUAAAAGUUAUUAAUAAUUUGAAAACUAUGUCUUUUUAUAUUUAACUUAUUUUAAAAUUUGCUUGUGAUUUUUUUCUUCAGCUUUUUUGGGGUAUUUUUGUACAUUUAAAUUACUUUUUUGCAAAUUCCCUUUUAAUUUUUUUCCUUUACUCUCACUUUUCGUCCAUUUUCUAAAAAAAAAAAAAUAUUUAAUCUUUUUUAAGAUUAAUACAAUAAUAAAGAAUAUCAAUUGUAAAAUAAAUUUAUACAUAAACAUAAUUAAUUUAUUAUGUUACUUACAAUACAUAUAUGAAGUAUAAAUUCAUUAUCACCACUAUUUUAGUGGUGACAAUAGUCACAAAACAUGAUUUGGAAGUUUACAUAGCCAAUUUUUAUGUAAUAAAGUGGUAUUUAU
rnacentral:sRNA from 1 species